rnacentral:rRNA from 1 species
GAAAUCUGGCACCUUCGGUGUCCGAGUUGUAAUUUGAAGAAGGUAACUUUGGAGUUGGCUCUUGUCUAUGUUCCUUGGAACAGGACGUCACAGAGGGUGAGAAUCCCGUGCGAUGAGAUGUCCAACUCUAUGUAAAGUGCUUUCGAAGAGUCGAGUUGUUUGGGAAUGCAGCUCUAAGUGGGUGGUAAAUUCCAUCUAAAGCUAAAUAUUGGCGAGAGACCGAUAGCGAACAAGUACAGUGAUGGAAAGAUGAAAAGAACUUUGAAAAGAGAGUGAAAAAGUACGUGAAAUUGUUGAAAGGGAAGGGUUUGAGAUCAGACUUGGUAUUUUGUAUGUCUUGCUUUCGGGUGGGGCCUCUGCAGUUUACUGGGCCAGCAUCGGUUUGGACGGUAGGAUAAUGACAUUGGAAUGUGGCACUACUUCGGUGGUGUGUUAUAGACUUUGUUGAUACUGCCUGUCUAGACCGAGGACUGCGUCUUUGACUAGGAUGCUGGCAUAAUGAUCCUAAACCGC